rnacentral:rRNA from 1 species
GACGAACGCUGGCGGCGUGCUUAACACAUGCAAGUCGAACGGAAAGGCCCUGCUUUUGUGGGGUGCUCGAAUGGCGAACGGGUGAGUAACACGUGAGUAACCUGCCCUUGACUUUGGGAUAACUUCAGGAAACUGGGGCUAAUACCGGAUAGGAGCUCCUGCUGCAUGGUGGGGGUUGGAAAGUUUCGGCGGUUGGGGAUGGACUCGCGGCUUAUCAGCUUGUUGGUGGGGUAGUGGCUUACCAAGGCUUUGACGGGUAGCCGGCCUGAGAGGGUGACCGGCCACAUGGGGACUGCGAUACGGCCCAGACGCCUACGGGAGGCAGCAGUGGGGAAUAUUGCACAAUGGGCGGAAGCCUGAUGCAGCAACGCCGCGUGCGGGAUGGCGGCCGUCGGGUUGUAAACCGCUUUCGCCGGUGACGAAGCGUGAGUGACGGUAAUGGGUAAAGAAGCACCGGCUAACUACGUG